GGGAAAUGGAAAUGGGCGAAGCCUGAUCCAGCCAUGCCGCGUGUGUGAAGAAGGUCUUCGGAUUGUAAAGCACUUUAAGUUGGGAGGAAGGGCAGUAAGUUAAUACCUUGCUGUUUUGACGUUACCAACACGAAUAAGCACCGGCUAACUUCGUGCCAGCAGCCGCGGUAAUACGAAGGGUGCAAGCGUUAAUCGGAAUUACUGGGCGUAAAGCGCGCGUAGGUGGUUCAGCAAGUUGGAGGUGAAAUCCCCGGGCUCNACCUGGGAACUGCCUCCNAAACUACUGAGCUA
rnacentral:rRNA from 1 species